rnacentral:rRNA from 1 species
UGACCUCAAAUCAAGUAGGACUACCCGCUGAACUUAAGCAUAUCA